rnacentral:rRNA from 1 species
UACGGAGGGGGCGAGCGUUGUUCGGAAUUAUUGGGCGUAAAGAGUAUGUAGGCGGCUGGAUAAGUCGGGCGUGCAAGCCCACGGCUCAACCGUGGAAUUGCGUCUGAAACUGUUCAGCUUGAGUACAGGAGAGGAAAGCGGAAUUCCCAGUGUAGCGGUGAAAUGCAUUGAUAUUGGGAAGAACACCGGUGGCGAAAGCGGCUUUCUGGUCUGUUACUGACGCUGAGAUACGAAAGCCAGGGGGGCAAAGGGG